UACGUAGGGUGCAGGCGUUAAUCGGAAUUACUGGGCGUAAAGCGUGCGCAGGCGGUUUCUUAAGUCAGAUGUGAAAGCCCCGGGCUUAACCUGGGAACUGCGUUUGAAACUGGGAGACUUGAGUGUGGCAGAGGGGGGGUGGAAUUCCACGUGUAGCAGUGAAAUGCGUAGAGAUGUGGAGGAACACCGAUGGCGAAGGCAGCCUCCUGGGCCAGCACUGAC
rnacentral:rRNA from 1 species